rnacentral:rRNA from 1 species
UGAGGAAUAUUGGUCAAUGGACGCAAGUCUGAACCAGCCAAGUAGCGUGCAGGAUGACGGCCCUAUGGGUUGUAAACUGCUUUUAUGUGGGGAUAAAGUGCGUGACGUGUCAUGCAUUGCAGGUACCACAUGAAUAAGGACCGGCUAAUUCCGUGCCAGCAGCCGCGGUAAUACGGAAGGUCCGGGCGUUAUCCGGAUUUAUUGGGUUUAAAGGGAGCGUAGGCUGUCUAUUAAGCGUGUUGUGAAAUAUACCGGCUCAACCGGUGGCUUGCAGCGCGAACUGGUCGACUUGAGUAUGCAGGAAGUAGGCGGAAUUCAUGGUGUAGCGGUGAAAUGCUUAGAUAUCAUGACGAACUCCGAUUGCGAAGGCAGCUUACGGGAGCGCAACUGACGCUAAAGCUCGAAGGUGCGGGUAUCGAACAGG